rnacentral:rRNA from 1 species
ACGCCAGACUCCUACGGGAGGCAGCAGUGGGGGAUAUUGCACAAUGGGGGGAACCCUGAUGCAGCGACGCCGCGUGGGUGAAGGAGUAUUUCGGUAUGUAAAGCCCUAUCGGCAGGGAAGAAGCAAGACGGUACCUGACUAAGAAGCCCCGGCUAACUACGUGCCAGCAGCCGCGGUAAUACGUAGGGGGCGAGCGUUAUCCGGAUUCACUGGGUGUAAAGGGAGCGUAGACGGCCAUGCAAGCCAGGGGUGAAAGCCCGGGGCCCAACCCCGGGACUGCCCUUGGAACUGUGCGGCUAGAGUGCGGGAGGGGCAGGCGGAAUUCCUGGUGUAGCGGUGAAAUGCGUAGAUAUCAGGAGGAACACCAGUGGCGAAGGCGGCUUGCUGGACAGUAACUGACGUUGAGGCUCGAAAGCGUGGGGAGCAAACAGGAUUAGAUACCCUAGUA